CCUACGGGAGGCAGCAGUGAGGAAUAUUGGUCAAUGGACGAGAGUCUGAACCAGCCAAGUAGCGUGAAGGAUGACUGCCCUAUGGGUUGUAAACUUCUUUUAUAUGGGAAUAAAAUGUUCCACGUGUGGGAUUUUGUAUGUACCAUAUGAAUAAUGAUCGGGUAACUCCGUGCCAGCAGCCGCGGUAAUACGGAGGAUCCGAGCGUUAUCCGGAUUUAUUGGGUUUAAAGGGAGCGUAGGUGGAUUGUUAAGGCAGUUGUGAAAGUUUGCGGCUCAACCGUAAAAUUGCAGUUGAAACUGGCAGUCUUGAGUACAGUAGAGGUGGGCGGAAUUCGUGGUGUAGCGGUGAAAUGCUUAGAUAUCACGAAGAACUCCGAUUGCGAAGGCAGUUCACUGGACUGCAACUGACACUGAGGCUCGAAAGUGUGGGUAUCAAACAGGAUUAGAUACCCUUGUAGUC
rnacentral:rRNA from 1 species